UGUUUUGAUUUUCUUCGAAAAAAUUUGAAAUGUAUUUUUAACUAUUUGAUAAUUAUGAAUAUCUAGUUGAUAAAAUUUAUUAAAUAAUUAUUAUAGUUAAUUAUUAGUGGGCCAAGUCUAUAAUUCAUGCAGUACCCAUUUAUAUUUGGCCCAUAAAAUUAAGUUAAGUAAAGAGGGGUUAAUAAUAUAUUCAUAACUCAAGAUUGAAAGAAUGGCGGUUGGCUAGACGGUUUCGUCGGUUAUCCUGGGCAUAAAUAUCUUCCAGCGUUGCCUAAUUUUCUGAGGGGCAUGAAUAUCUUCCCGCGAUGCUUGAUUUCUUGCGGGGCAUGAAUAUCUACCCGCAAUGCGUGAAUAUUUUUCUCUUGAGGUCAUCUUUGGUACCAAAUGAAGAUAGAGCUCAAUCGACCAACACUUUUAUCUUCUGGGUGCCUUCCAGAUAGUCAUAUCGUCUAAAUUAACAAUAAACUAAAUUGACCCCUCUGGUUGUAUAUCAUAUUAAUCAACAAUGGGAAUAAAAUGACCCUUCAAGUAGUAUAUCGUCUCAAACGACAAUACCAAUAAAAUGAUUGUUUUGAUAGCGACACUAUCGUGUCUUAGAAAGAGAUGCAAAUGACGCCCUUUAUAAAAAAUUGUAAUCUGUCUUUCCUUAGAUUUUCACUUGAUUCAUCUU